rnacentral:rRNA from 1 species
GUGCAUGGCAGACGGGUGAGUAACGCGUGGGGAAUCUACCUCUUUGUGGGGAAUAACGCUCCGAAAGGAGUGGUAAUACCGCAUGAGAUCCAUGGCUGGGAUGCUGUGGAUGAAACCUGGGGACCGCAAGGCCUGGGGCAAGGAGAGGAUCCUGCGUCUGAUUAGCUAGUUGGUGAGGUAAUGGCCCACCAAGGCGACGAUCAGUAGCCGGCCUGAGAGGGUGAUCGGCCACACUGGAACUGAGACACGGUCCAGACUCCUACGGGAGGCAGCAGUGGGGAAUUUUGCGCAAUGGGCGAAAGCCUGACGCAGCAACGCCGCGUGGGUGAUGAAGGUCUUCGGAUCGUAAAACCCUGUCGUCGGGGACGAAGGUGGAGGGGUUAAUAGCCUCUUUGCUUGACGGUACCCGGAGAGGAAGCCCCGGCUAACUCUGUGCCAGCAGCCGCGGUAAUACAGAGGGGGCAAGCGUUAUUCGGAAUUAUUGGGCGUAAAGGGCGCGUAGGCGGCUUUUUAAGUGAGAUGUGUAAUCCCUGAGCUCAACUUGGGAACUGCAUCUCAUACUGGGAGGCUAGAGUACUGGAGAGGGUGGUAGAAUUCCACGUGUAGCGGUGAAAUGCGUAGAGAUGUGGAGGAAUACCAGUGGCGAAGGCGGCCACCUGGACAGUAACUGACGCUGAGGCGCGAAAGUGUG